CAGUUGAAAUCGUACGUUUUUACUUGUCAAACGGCUAUUUCGGAUUGUGUAAGUCAAUGGAAAGCCAUCGGUUGGGCAUAGUUAGUUCAUUACGAUUAGAUCGUUAUUUUUAUACGAAGAGUGAAUGAUUUGAUAUGAUUUGACAGUUAUUUGCGAUUGUCUUCGAAUUGUGUAAAGUUUUAUGUUCAUGGCUUAUGUCAAAAACUUACGACGGGUCUUGAGUCACCUUUGAUCGUAAAACGGACAAAUUGUGGAUGUCCAAAAUUCCAAAAUAAUAAUUUAUAUUUUGUUAAAUAUCUAAAAUUAAUAUUUUUUUCCAUUCUAAAUCUCUCAAUUCAGUCUCCCCGUCCACAGUUAGCAUUUUUAGGACGAAACUUUGCGAAGUGUUUUGUUUGUAAACAAUGAACUCUGUUAAAAAGAGUAAUAAAUAAUAUAUUCUUUGCAAUGAACCUAUAAAGUCAAAACAAUUAAGUUAAUUGAGUGCUAUUAAUCGAUUUAUAUAGGAUGCUGAGACUUGGACUCUGAGAGAAAGUGAGAAAAAGAAUAUACAUGCUCUAGAAAUAUGUUGAAGAAGAAUGCUUGAAUAUCCUGGACACAGUCUCACUCCUCCAAGAACUGGGGAUCAAACAGCAUCUUUCUUCCAGCAUCCAAUGUCUUCUUACACACACUUUCUUUAGACGUACCAGAGAAAGAGACGAUAUGUCCAUAGAGAGACAUAAACUCAAUACCUGCGAUAUUUAAUACCAUACCAUGUUUUAGAUUUCUGCGACAUCUUGCAUGUUGUUGUAUCCAAUGUGUUGGGAUCUGUGUUCCAGGGCUUAUGUGUGUGGUUUAGGAUAUUUGGAAUAUGCCCUAUAACUGCAGAGCCCAAUAUUACAAAAAGCACCUGCAAUACAGUAGAAUAACAUAUUGGUGUGCUGAAGAAAAGAUGGCAAAGGCUUUUAGCUGAUAGGACUUUGUACUGAUGACCCUGUUAUCUGGUCAAAUCAUAAAUGUGUGUGUAUUAUCAAAAUAUUUGCAUAGAUUGUGAAAUGCUGAUAUUUGAUUUGGUCUUUGAUAUUUGAAAAUAAAAGAAUACUUACUUCGC